UACGUAGGUGGCAAGCGUUGUCCGGAAUCACUGGGCGUAAAGGGCGCGUAGGCGGCCUGAUAAGUAGGGGGUGAAAUCCUGUGGCUCAACUGCAGGGCUGCCUCCUAGACUGUCGGGCUUGAGCACGGUAGAGGCAGAUGGAAUUCCCGGUGUAGCGGUGGAAUGCGUAGAGAUCGGGAAGAACAUCGGUGGCGAAGGCGGUCGACUGGGCC
rnacentral:rRNA from 1 species